CAGCUCGCUUGGACCUCCCCGUGACUCCUGACACUGACUGACCGUGUGAUGUCACACGUAAUGCUGUGUCAGCCAUGUCUUCUGGACAUGAAGAAAAGACAAAGGAAUAGGCUUGAAAAAUAGGAAGAUAAAGCAGGUCCAACCUCCACCCCAACCUCGGUCUUUGGUAUCAUCCGAGAAGCUGACAGUUCUGGUCUACCUCUAAAGGUCUGCCUAUUGAAGUCGAGACCAGUACCAUCAUGUUACCACCACACCUGGCUCUCCAGUAUCUACUCCUCCAGUGGAUCCAGCUGACUGGCCAUCAGUCCUUAAUGACCAUUUACACGUUGAUGUGAUGAGCAGGGGACCAGCAGAAGUUUACGGAGACAUUUAGACUUCCAAAAAGACACUCAUACAGAAGAGGUCUUCCGUAUCAUUAAAUUUCUAGAUCACUCAUAAAGAAGCUGAUUGACAUAUUCAUACAAAAUGAUGCUGUCUACUGUUUUGUAGUUUUGUCUCUUAAACUCUUGUUUGGCUGUUAUUAAAGAAUUGAGCUUUGGUCAGUCAGAA